GUGCCACAGCAACAGAGCUCCAGUUGUGUCUUGUAAGAAUUGGUCAUUGUUUCAUGGGGACGACUGGCUCCUUUGGGUGGGAUCUGAUGGCAUCUCAUGGAGUUGAGGUUGUCUGCCAACGCUAACUGGCCAGCUCUGACAGGAGGUGCGUGGCCCAGGAGGAGCCAUCAGGCCAGUUCUCUGGGAUACUGCUGUGUCUCCAGCUCUGCAGUUUGCUCUUCGUCACUCAGCGGCAGACGGAGAGGCAGACACGAGCCCCUUGUGAGCCCUCCUCCUUACCGUCAUCUCACAAUGCUCUGAAAUAAGGAGGCAAAUGGCUGAGGUCCCCUCAGUUAGUCUCGCUCUGUCCCAGGCUGGAGUGCCGUGGUGUGGUCUUGGCUCACUGCAACCUCUGCCUCCCGUGUUCAAGCGAUUCUCCUACCUCAGCCUCCCGAGUAGCUGGGAUUACAGGUAGAUGUGAUUGAGUUCUAUCUACCAGAAGCAUAUGCCUCCUGGAAGCCUGGUUCUAACACCUCCCACAAAAUCCUUCAAGCACUUUUUUCUGUUCCAAGGUUUGCUUAUGGGGGACCCAGUGAAGUGCUUCAGAGCCCUAGAGAUUUGCUGAGUCAUAUGAGGGGUCAGCAAACUUUUCCUGUAAAGGGUCAGAUAAUAAACAUUUUAAGCUUUGUAGACUGUA